rnacentral:rRNA from 1 species
GACGAACGCUGGCGGCGUGCUUAACACAUGCAAGUCGAACGAUGAAGCCGGAGCUUGCUCUGGUGAAUUAGUGGCGAACGGGUGAGUAACACGUGAGUAACCUGCCCUUGACUCUGGGAUAACUGCGGGAAACUGUAGCUAAUACCGGAUACGACCCUCGGAGGCAUCUCCUGGGGGUGGAAAGAAUGUCGGUCAAGGAUGGACUCGCGGCCUAUCAGCUAGUUGGUGAGGUAAGGGCCUACCCAGGCGACGACGGGUAGCCGGCCGGAGAGGGUGACCGGCCACACUGGGACUGAGACACGGCCCAGCCUCCUACGGGAGGCAGCAGUGGGGAAUAUUGCACAAUGGGCGCAAGCCUGAUGCAGCAACGCCGCGUGAGGGAUGACGGCCUUCGGGUUGUAAACCUCUUUUAGUAGGGAAGAAGCGAAAGUGACGGUACCUGCAGAAAAAGCACCGGCUAACUACGUGCCAGCCGCCGCGGUAA